UCUUAGGUGUUGAUGUGUCACU
rnacentral:siRNA from 1 species